rnacentral:rRNA from 1 species
UACAGAGGUCUCAAGCGUUGUUCGGAUUCAUUGGGCGUAAAGGGUGUGUAGGUGGCGCCGUAAGUCGGGUGUGAAAUUUCGGAGCUUAACUCCGAAACUGCAUUCGAUACUGCGGUGCUUGAGGACUGGAGAGGAGACUGGAAAUUUACGGUGUAGCGGUGAAAUGCGUAGAUAUCGUAAGGAAGACCAGUGGGCGAAGGCGGGUCUCUGGGACGGUACUGACGCUGGAGACGCGAAA